rnacentral:rRNA from 1 species
UGGGGAAUCUUGGACAAUGGGCGCAAGCCUGAUCCAGCCAUGCCGCGUGGAUGAUGAAGGCCCUAGGGUUGUAAAAUCCUUUCGUUGGGGACGAUAAUGACGGUACCCAAAGAAGAAGCUCCGGCUAACUUCGUGCCAGCAGCCGCGGUAAUACGAAGGGGGCUAGCGUUGUUCGGAUUUACUGGGCGUAAAGCGCGUGUAGGCGGGUCGUUAAGUUGGGGGUGAAAUCCCGAGGCUCAACCUCGGAACUGCCUUCAAAACUGGCGACCUGGACUCAAGUAGAGGCAAGUGGAAUUGCGAGUGUAGAGGUGAAAUUCGUAGAUAUUCGCAGGAACACCAGUGGCGAAGGCGACUUGCUGGACUUGUAGUGACGCUGAGACGCGAAAGCGUGGGGAGCAAACAGGAUUAGAUACCCCAGUAGUCCCUGAGCGGGCUGGCAAGGCGCAU